UCUUCCUGCACAUUCAGUAUCCAUAACCAAAUCACCAUGAGGACAUCAAAACACAACAAGUCUACAGCAAGCCUUUUAAUAAGAUCAAGACAAUCAGUGGAAAAGGCUACAAGGGCCUCUGCAAGCAGAAUCAAGAUGGAGGAGCACUGGGAGACCUCAUUACAUUAAACAGAUAACCCCACUGUUGUCUAAGCUUUAGUCCCGUCACAAAGAAGACAGGUGGUCCUGGCCUGUGUCACUCGUGACAUGGGACAGAUGCUUUACGCAACAAAGGAGGCAGCGAAGGGAACUUCCUCUUCUCAAGAGCUGAAUCCAGAUCUGCUCUCGCUUUAACAUUUCUUAUGUGGGGGUCCAGAUCUGGCAUCAUUCAUAUUAACAGGUACAUCAGUCUUCUCCUUGCCAACAGUACCACUAUGCAUUUCUCAUAAAGUUUGCAGCAACAGAACCCCCUUUAUGAUCAGCAGAGCAUGAGUGGACAUGUUUACCUGACUGUUAGCUCAAGCUCCUUAUCAUCUCUACCUAUAGAAGGCAAGCAUCAAUGUGCAAACACAAUAUACACCACCUAAGCAACAAGACAACAUAUGAACACUGGACAUUUUCCUCAGUUGAAAGGUCAGCUGAAACGUCAUAUAUCUUCAUUUUACCUCAGCUUA